GGCAUGUUUUUUUUUAUUUUGCAUGUUCAGUUGAAGCUUCUCCAGUAGAAAAGUUCCUCAAAGCUGAAAGGAUAUCUGUAGACAGCUUUAAGGGAGAAAAUACUUUCAAUGGGGACCAGUCGGAUGCCCACAUGAGCACACUCUCUCAGAGUAGUAAAGAGGACCACUCUGUUUCUGAAGGGUCUCCAAAGAAGGACAAAAAGAAGAAGAAGGGGUUAAGAACUCCUUCAUUCUUGAAGAAGAAAAAAGAAAAGAAAGUUCGUGACGCAUAGGAGAUUUUCCUCUACAGAAUAAAAUCAUAAAAUGCCUCCAUUGAGACUGCCAGCGACUCAUUUAGUUUAGAAAUUCGGGUGCAGCGGCUAAGAUUUUUUGCACUAUUUGUGACACUGAACAUUUGUCAAGUUUAAAAUUAUAAUAAAUUAUAUUUUAGCUUUAUCUGUACAGGAAAACCAUAAAGAUUUUAUUAUUAAUUAACUUUAAUAGUGCGAUAUAGUGGUGGAUUAAUUAAUAUAUAUUGAGUAAUUAUAUAAUGCAACAAAAUAAACAAUUCACUAGUAUGACUGACAUCACUGAAAAGAAAUGUUCAAAUGUGUGCGUUGUUUGUCUUGUGCAAUAAAAUGCGUUUUUUAUUUAUGUAAAUUUUCAGCUUUUAUCUUUUACUAUGCAAUCGUUUUUUGUUAUUGUAGAUUAAUCAAAGAAAUGUGCAAAUAGAUAAUUAUAUAUAUUUUAAGGCCAUAUUUUUUGUGAUGGGAGCGGGAGCACAGUUUCUUAUCAUUUCUACUUUAAAAAACAUAUUCCUGAUAGUUUGCACAAACUACUCUUUUUAUAAAUAUGUUUUCUUAAUAUUUAAGAAAUAAACGGCUUUUUCUGCUAUACACCUGUAGUUUUUCUUUGAAGAAAUGGAUGUACUUUUGAGUCAUUAUUUCAAGAUGCGUUUUGUUUGUUAUUACUGCAGCCUUGAAUUACCAUACUAACUGUUCAAUAUUGGCCUCGUAUAAGAUACUGUUCAGUUGACAGUUUGACCACCUCUAACUGCAUAUAAUCAGAAACUGAAACCAAACGCAACCUUGAAUGCUGUUUUUUGUAUAGUUUUCUCUUUUUUGUUUGUAUUAACAAAAAUAGAUGAAAACGUUUCAAAAUUUAAAAUUACUAUAGAGAUAUCUUAUAAGAAAUGUUUUUGUGAAAAGUAAUUUUGAAUCAUCCAAUUUUAUCUUCUUUCUUUGAAGUUCUCAAUAAACUACUAUUCAUAUGAAUCAAAUGAUUUUGCAUACUUAUAAUUAACGAACUCUAAGUUGAGAGAGAAGUCGGCUUCGCCUCUGUAGUUGGUUGACAAACCAUAGAGUUAGUUGUUUUAUUGAAAAUUUCAAGGAUCCAAUUACAUUAUUAAAACUGACCAAGAAAUAUUUUGAGCAUGUUUUAUCUAUUCAGGCAAGGUUAUUUAUUUUGUAUAUUCAAAACAUCGAAAAUUCAAGAUACAGUUCAUAUUGAAAUUGAAUUGAAAAUGUAGAGGAGUGCCAAAAUAAAACCGGUUCUGUAGAUAAACAUCAGUUUCUAAUUAUUUAUUAUAGAAAAAAAAAAUCUAGAGAGCCAACCUCCCCAAAAGAUCUUUUCACUACCGUGUCUUUCGAAUUCUAAGAGCUCCAGGUCCAAUUAAAAGUUCCAUUUAUCAUUUCAAAUUAUUCAUUUUCUGAUUUUAGUAAAAGGUAUCAACCUUGACUUCAUUUGGGAGCCGAUAAUCUGCUCAAACUUGUUGAAGAUUUAUUAAUAUAUUUAAAACUACGUUUUUGAGAUAAAGUAUUCAAUGUUUAGUGGUGUAUUUUAUAUGAAAUUGUGCUUUAUAGUAGUAAUGGUAAUUGCUUAAGUGAAUUGCUUUGAAGUGUAAUUUAUACUAUAGGGAACAAUAGUUAGCGAAAGGAACCAAGAUGAUAUAUAUGAAGUUGUUCAAAAUAUUUUACAGUUUAAUAAUGUGCAUUAUUGAUAUUAUUUGCACUGAAAUUUGUUGCAUUACUAUGUGAAAAAUCAAUAUUGUGCUCAGUUUUUUUGUUGUUUUCCGUUCACUAAGAAAUACCUUAUUGUUUUGCAGAUACUCUUGAUUUCAAAAUAAAUAUAAUUUCAUUAGA